CAACACAGCAGAUGGUGAUCCAUGCUGUGGAAGUCUCACAUCUCCUGAUUUAAUGGAGCUGCUUUGCACUUUUUACACUGUUUAUUCACCAACACUUUAUUUAAUAAAAGUCCCAUCUAGUUUUUAUGAGGAAUGUGGUGUUUUAAUUUCUCUGUGAAUAACUGCAGUCUAAUGCAACAGCUGGAGUUGUAACAUCUGUCCUGAUAUUGAUCAUGAAGUAUUGAUCAGAAUACUUAUGGUCAGCAGUCAUCCCUGAAGUUUUACAUUAAAAUCUUUACUUGUGUUGUGAACUUUGGCAAGAAGCAGAAACGUUAGUGUUGCCAUGGAUACAUGAGUGUUAAAUUCUGUCCAUGUUUUAUUUUGGGAAUGCAGUCCAGUUCCAGAAUGUGGAGGAAUUUAUUCUCAAUCACAGACAACAAAUAUUAUCUGAAAGUUGGGUUAUUGUUGUUUAUCAGCACAAUACAAAAAGAUUAAUGUUAGAAAUAUUCCAGUUCAGACUCUAGAAUAUCAUGAUUUAUGUAAAUUUACCUCAAUAAUAUGAAUGUUCAGGUUAAGAUUGUACAGUGAUAUUUAUUAUGUAAGUUUAGCUGAUUAAAGUUUAAGACUCUGCACCAAAAUAUUAUUUAAAUUGACAGCAAUAUUAUUUGACACAAAUCUAUCUAAAUCAAAAUUUUAAUAAUUUUCACACCAAACAUUUACUGGACUGAUUUAAACAUUAAAAUCACUCCUUUCUAAUCCUCUGCUGUAUGUUCAAACCUGAGGCCUUAAAUAGAAACACACAAGUAUCUGAUUGAAGGAACUUCUGCAGAGUCUUGGUUCCAGAACAUGAUGAUAGAAUUAUAGACAAACUUUAACAAAAGCUGCAUGAGAGUUUACAGGUUUUUAUGUUGGAUUUCUUCAGUAAUUUAAUGAGUUAUCAGCAAAAAUCAAGUGUUUAUUUGAUGAACUUCAUUUCCUAAAACAUCCAGAAUUGGAGCUCAUAUCUUUGGCAGCUGUAAAGUUUCUGCUCCUUCAAAGUUCACAACACAAUGAAUGAAUUCCUAAAACACUCUCAAUGCUGGAGAGCGUUUGAUGCUGAAGCAGUGACCAGUUUUUCUGUUUCUUCUCUGGAGAUGCACAAUGAGGGACGUCUGCAGAGACUGAGAAAGAGUCUCACCACAUCCUGACAUGAGGAAAAAGACUUUAUUGAAGACUACAAUGAGAAAAACUAUCAGACAGCAGACGGCUGCAUUCAAGGCUACAGGAGGAGCCCUACGAGGACGAGCCGGUCCACCUGAUGGCGGCCAGUCGCUGCUUUUCAAAGCCAACACCGACUACGUGGACUUCUACUGGACCACACGGAGGCCUUCAAACCGGACCAACAAGUUCACCGACUCCCCGACUCGUGGGUCUGAGGACGCCGCUGAGCCUCGGCCCAGCCGGCCUCCUGUCUGUGGGUGUUUGAGUGCUGAGAGGUUUGUGGAUGCAUGUGAACGUUCUGUGUUGAAACAGCAGCUUUGGACUCACUAACGCCAGGAAAAACCAAGAGCUCCUUUAUUUGUGACUUCCACUAAAAAACUGAUGAAAAUAAGUUU
ensembl:lncRNA